ensembl:scaRNA
GGCCUCUCUCCCAUGGGGCUGGGUGUGUGUGUGUGAGUUGGGGGGACCUCUUCUCCUCAGCCCUUGGGCUGGAAGCCCAGAUCAGCCCUGGGGGAUCCCUGUCGGGGCUGCCAUGAGCUGGGCAGCCUUGUUUUCCUACCUCAGACAUUU